rnacentral:rRNA from 1 species
UACGUAGGGCGCAAGCGUUAUCCGGAAUUACUGGGCGUAAAGCGUGCGUAGACGGUUUCGUAAGUCGGGUGUGAAAUCCCCGGGCUCAACCUGGGAAUUGCAUUCGAAACUGCGAGGCUAGGGUACGGAAGAGGGAAGCGGAAUUUCUGGUGUAGCGGUGAAAUGCGUAGAUAUCAGAAGGAACAUCAGUGGCGAAAGCGGCUUCCUGGUCCAGUACCGACGUUCAGGCACGAAAGCGUGGGGAGCAAACAGG